AGGAGGAAGCCCUGGAGGGGCUGGAGGUGAUGGAUGUUUUCCUCCGGUUCUCAGGGCUCCACCUUUUCCGGGCCGUGGAGCCAGGGCUGGUGC
ensembl:miRNA